GUGAUCAUACCAGCCCUAAUGCACUGGAUCCCAUCAGAGCUAUGCAGUUACACGUGCUUAGGCGAGUGUAGUACUAGGAUGGAGGACCCUCUGUGAAGUGCUCGUGUUACACCCC